UUUGCUGCGCAAUUUGGUGUGGUCUUCAAAACCUUCAAAAGAUGACGAGGCCCAUUUAUAUCCGGGCCUUAGGGUGUUUGGCAUGAUUUGGGCUAGGAUUUAAGAACCCAUUUGUUUUGCGUACAAGAUGAUUUAUAGAUACAAAUGAAAAUACAGAGCAAGACAAUAAGAAGAGGAAUCAAGAACAGAGUGAAACGAACCUUCAUCAUCAGGUUCGGACAGACCAGGAACUCUCCCGGCAAGAAGACCUUUUUUCACGACAGCCAAUCUUUCCCCUGGAAACACUAAAGUCUAAAGCCGUGGACGAGACUAACCGAUUUUUGUGGCUGAUACGCAUGCCUCUUAACUUCUUUUGUGAUUUGUGGCUAAUCAUUUUCUAGCCUCACACGUG